rnacentral:rRNA from 1 species
UACGUAGGGGGCUAGCGUUGUUCGGAUUCAUUGGGCGUAAAGGGUGCGUAGGCGGCGCGGUAAGUCGGGUGUGAAAUCUCGGGGCUUAACUCCGAAACUGCAUUCGAUACUGCCGUGCUUGAGGACUGGAGAGGAGACUGGAAUUUACGGUGUAGCGGUGAAAUGCGUAGAUAUCGUAAGGAAGACCAGUGGCGAAGGCGGGUCUCGUGGACAGUUCCUGACACUGAGACACGAAGGCCAGGGGAGCAAACGGG